rnacentral:rRNA from 1 species
UACGUAGGGCGCAAGCGUUAUCCGGACUUAUUGGGCGUAAAGAGCUCGUAGGCGGUUUGUCGCGUCUGCCGUGAAAGUCCGGGGCUCAACUCCGGAUCUGCGGUGGGUACGGGCAGACUAGAGUGAUGUAGGGGAGACUGGAAUUCCUGGUGUAGCGGUGAAAUGCGCAGAUAUCAGGAGGAACACCGAGGGCGAAGGCAGGUCUCUGGGCAUUAACUGACGCUGAGGAGCGAAAGCAGGGGGAGCGAACAGG